rnacentral:rRNA from 1 species
UACGGGGUGGGUAAGCGUUGUUCGGAAUUACUGGGCGUAAAGGGCUCGUAGGCGGCCAACUAAGUCGGACGUGAAAUCCCUCAGCUUAACUGGGGAACUGCGUCCGAUACUGGAUGGCUUGGAUUUGGGAGAGGGAUGCGGAAUUCCAGGUGUAGCGGUGAAAUGCGUAGAUAUCUGGAGGAACACCGGUGGCGAAGGCGGUUCUCUGGGCCUGACCUGACGCUGAGGAGCGAAAGCGUGGGGAGCGAACAGG